GAUUUGGGAAACUACCUGAUAGAGGGGGACAACAGUUGGAAACGACUGCUAAUACCGCAUACAGCCUUAGGGUGAAAGAAGCAAUUCGCUAUCAGAUGUGCCCAAAUGGGAUUAGCUAGUAGGUGAGGUAAAGGCUCACCUAGGCGACGAUCUCUAGCUGGUCUGAGAGGAUGAUCAGCCACAUUGGGACUGAGACACGGCCCAGACUCCUACCGGGAGG
rnacentral:rRNA from 1 species